AUUGAACGCUGGCGGCAGGCCUAACACAUGCAAGUCGAGCGGAUGAAGGGAGCUUGCUCCUGGAUUCAGCGGCGGACGGGUGAGUAAUGCCUAGGAAUCUGCCUGGUAGUGGGGGAUAACGUCCGGAAACGGGCGCUAAUACCGCAUACGUCCUGAGGGAGAAAGUGGGGGAUCUUCGGACCUCACGCUAUCAGAUGAGCCUAGGUCGGAUUAGCUAGUUGGUGGGGUAAAGGCCUACCAAGGCGACGAUCCAUAACUGGUCUGAGAGGAUGAUCAGUCACACUGGAACUGAGACACGGUCCAGACUCCUACGGGAGGCAGCAGUGGGGAAUAUUGGACAAUGGGCGAAAGCCAGAUCCAGCCAUGCCGCGUGUGUGAAGAAGGUCUUCGGAUUGUAAAGCACUUUAAGUUGGGAGGAAGGGCAGUAAGUUAAUACCUUGCUGUUUUGACGUUACCAACAGAAUAAGCACCGGCUAACUUCGUG
rnacentral:rRNA from 1 species